AUUCUGGGCAAAAUGAAGCUGAAAGGCUGAAUGCUUGCCUGGGUGAAGCGAUAUGUGAUGGAGGUACAAUCCAGUGGCAGAUCUUUUCUGAGACCCAUGGUUUGACAGAAACUGACAUAUCCACAAUGACCAGAUCAUUCCUUGAGGAUCAUGCACAAAGGAUGAUGGAAAACAAUGCUUGAGCUGUGGCAGAAGAAGUCAGACUCAGAAUUGACCAGUCACCACCAGCAGGAUUUACCAGAGCGUUUACUGUGGAAAAACCAGAACUACAGUUCUUCUACAACCGUGAGUAUCUACAGCGGUACAUGACGAGUUGCAAGACCCAGAGAUCAGCUGUUCCAGGCCAUAAUUACUUUCAGAAGAUAGAAAACUUCAUUGACA
rnacentral:lncRNA from 1 species